rnacentral:rRNA from 1 species
UACGUAGGGUACAAGCAUUAAUCGGAUUUAUUGGGCGUAAAGGGCGCGUAGGCGGGAGUGCCAGUCAGAUGUGAAAUCCCGAGGCUCAACCUCGGAACAGCAUUUGAAACUACACUUCUAGAGGGUAGGCGGAGAAAACGGAAUUCCACAAGUAGCGGUGAAAUGCGUAGAUAUGAGGAAGAACACCGGUGGCGAAAGCGGUUUUCUAGCUUAUACCUGACGCUGAGGCGCGAAAGCAAGGGGAGCAAACAGG